rnacentral:tRNA from 1 species
GCUAGCGUAGCUUAACUAAAGCAUAACACUGAAGCUAUUAAGAUGGACCCUAGAAAGUCCCGCAAGCA